rnacentral:lncRNA from 13 species
CUCUUGGUUAGGAUGUUUAUUCACCUGUUUACAGAUAAGUUGAAGUUUUUAGUCACACUGUUGACAAGUCUUUACUUUCUAUGUCUGUGGUUUAUUAUGUUGUUUCAGUAUUCUAAAUAUUGAAGGCUGUUUUUAUCUGUGUGCUUUAUUAUUUUCUCAGAAAUGUGUUUAAAAGUUCUAUUAAUUUCAAAGAGUUCUUUAUCCACACUUUUCUGCCUUUUAUUGAAUGAAGUUAUUUCUUUUUUUCUGUUACAGAUUCACAAAAAGUUGCAAAGAACAGCACAGAGUGGUCCCAUCUACCCUUUAUUCCAUUUUCCCCAGUGUUUAUAUCUUAGGAUCAGCAGUGGCAACAGAAACAAGAUGAGGUUCUCCAGGAAGACUUUGGGUGUCUGACUGAAUCACACAUAAACUGGACUGGAUCCAGAGCUGCAUUGGAAUUAAGGACUUCCAGUACAAUCUUGAAAAGCAGUGGUGAGAAGGGGCACCCACACCUUACUCCUCAUCUUAGGAGGAAAGCAUGUAAGUUUCUUGCCAUUAAAUACGAAGUUAGCUGCAGGUUUUAUUUGUAGAUAUUCUUGAUCAAAUUGAGGAAAUUUCCCCAUUCCCAGUUUACUGAGAAUUUUAAAAAAUCAUAAAUGGGUGUUAGAUUUUGUCAAAUGCUUUUUCUGUAUCUAUUGAUAAAAUAUAAUUUUUAAAAUCUAGCUAGUUUAUAUGGUAGAAUAUAUUAGUCAAUUUUCAAAUGCUGAACCAGCUUUUUAUAUCUGGUAUAAAUCCCACUUGGUUGUGUUUUGUAAUUCUUUUAUACAUUGCUGAAUUCAAUUUACUAAUAUUUUGUUGAGAAUUUUUACAUCUCUGUUUAUGAGACAUAUUGUUCUGUAGUUUUCCUUUCUUACAAUAUCUUUAUCUGGUUUUGGUAUUAGGGCAAGUCUGGCCUCAUAUAAGUUAAGAAGUGUUCAUUCUGCUUCUAUGUUUUGGAAGAGAUCAUAAAGAGUUGAUAUCAUUUCUUCAUUAAAUGUUUGGUAAAAUUCACAAUAAAACCAUUUGGGCCUGAUGCUAUGUUUUUUUG